UGAGUCUUGUUUUAAAUAGAGGUAUUUUCAUGGCUAGAGUACGUAAGGAAAAGGAAAGGUUAACCGCUGUCAAAAAUAAAAACU
rnacentral:rRNA from 1 species